rnacentral:sRNA from 1 species
GCCGGGCAUGGUGGCGCACACCUGUAAUCCUAGCACUCAGAGGCUGAGGCAGGAGGAUCAUUGUGAAUUCGAGACCAGCCUGGGCUACAAAGUGAGCUCAAGGCCAGCCUGAACUGCAUAUUGAGACUGUCUCAAAAAGACAAAAAAAAAAAAAAGAGAGACAGGGUUUCACUGUGCAGUUCAGACUGGCCUUAACUCACUUUGUAGUCCAGGAUGGCCUCGAACUUGCAGUGAUCCUCCUGCCUCA